AACGAACGCUGGCGGCAGGCCUAACNCAUGCAAGUCGAACGCGCGUAGCAAUACGCGAGUGGCGCACGGGUGAGUAACACGUGGGAAUCAACCCGUGAGGUUCGGAAUAACCGCGGGAAACUGCGGCUAAUACCGGAUGUCCCCCAUGGGGGAAAGAUUUAUCGCCUUGGGACGAGCCCGCGUCCGAUUAGCUAGUUGGUGAGGUAACGGCUCACCAAGGCUACGAUCGGUAGCUGGUCUGAGAGGAUGACCAGCCACACUGGAA
rnacentral:rRNA from 1 species